rnacentral:snoRNA from 1 species
AGCCAGUGAUGACUUUAAAUGAUAAGAGUAGUGGACAGAAGAGAUUUCUGAAUACUUGAAACGCUGAGGCU